GGCGCUUCUCGGCCUUUUGGCUAAGAUCAUGUGCAGUAUCUGUUCUUAUCAGUGUUCAUUUCAGUAUUGGAUCGGGCAUCACUGGUGUAGAGCUGGUGAGGAGGGGUGCUGCAUGGAGGGGACAGGUGUACCAGGGCUGGUUUUGAGGAAUCAGCUCAACUGCUGCCCUGAUGUGACUUGUUCCCUCCGGGUCUC